CAGAGUAGAGAACUGAGCGUACAAGUGUCCGACGGACGGGGAGUUGCCGGCGGAACGAAAAGCUUUCAAGGCUUGCGGUUCAGUUCUUGCAUCCCGCUG
rnacentral:ncRNA from 1 species